AAACUCUGUUCUGUGCAGCACGAUAACCCUAUCAGGAAACAGCACCAAGUCCUGCCUGAUCUAAAGCUGAGGAAAGCUUUCAACGCACAAGAGAAGACUCAAAGCUUUUCAAGAUGGUAAAAAUUCAACACUUGAGAGUUACGGUCCUGAAACUGGUGUUUAAAAAUGGCUGGCAACAAUGUUUGGACCAUGCUGACACUGGAUGGCUCAGCUGGCAGCUUCUGUGUGAGUCAUCUCUAAGGUGCACAGCUCUCUCCAUCCAAUGAGAGGAAGCCCAGAUUGGACCAGAUUGCACAGCGUCGUGUCCAUGAACUUCCAGGGUUUGCAUUAAAAUCUGACAGAACAUCAGAGUGCCAGAAGCUUCUCAUAUUGUGGCUCUGGAGGUAAGAGCAAAAGACACUGUGCUUUAUUCUGUGUUCGGCAACGCUGUCCAAGCCCUUUGCAAAGUUCUUGUGACAUAAAAGAGAGCUUAAAGAAAUGGGUGGGAAUUUUGAACGUGAACAAAUACAAUGACAGGAUGUUAAGUAAUACAACCUGGAUGCUGUGUCUUACAUAUUGUUGUGAUGUCUUGUCCACAAAUUCUGGAAGUUAGAAAACAGACUGAAGAACUCAGUCCAAUUCAGUUUCUAGUCGAGCAGCUUAUACUAUGCUAGGAAUUCAGUUUUUCUUCUUCUUCAGCAUAUCUUAGGAAUUUGUGAAAAUCAAGAUGUGAGUGCUGUUUUCAAAUUUUAGAAAGGUUCACUGGGUUACGUAGCAGUUCUGGCAAUCAAUAGUAAAUCUGUCAGUGUGAUAACACAAUAGAGUCUCCAUCCUUAAGACCAGGUCAGGUUGAACCCAAAUAUCUUUCUCAAGGUAUACAUUUUUAGAGAAAUUCAUUUACCAGAGGACAUAUGCAGGUGAAAUAAAGGUAAGGGAGGACUCCUCUUUUGACA
rnacentral:lncRNA from 1 species